UUGCCAUUUUGUGUGUAUGAAAUUCCUUUCUUUCAGCUCAUGCAAAUACAAUUGAACAUCCCACUUCUAGUGGGAAAAAGAAGGGAUAAUAGUGUGAGGUGGUGACUGGGAAAGCAGCAAUGGGGUGUAAGUGGUCACACAGUUGGAAUCACUUUUGGAUACCAUAAAACCGAAUUCAAAGCUCUGCAUACUUUAUCUACUUCAUUCCUCAUUUUUCUAGUACAACUGCAUUUACUGACAUUCAAUGUUGAUUAUCUCAGCUGUUCUACCAUGAGACAGAG